rnacentral:misc_RNA from 1 species
GUUUCUCAUUGACUUUUUUUUAUUUGGUUUCAGAAGAAUUAAGAUAAUAGUUGUGCGUCCAUGGGCGGACCGCAAAGCGGACCCUUGAACAGUUCACAAGGUGGAACGUCAGACCGCCCGGAUCCCGGCGAACCGGUCACCAGGGGCCCAAACAUUUUAAUUGGUAAUGAUCCAACCGCAGGUUCACCUACGGUUA